AUUGAACGCUGGCGGCAGGCCUAACACAUGAAAGUCGAACGAGUGGCGGACGGGUGAGUAAUGUCUGGGAAACUGCCCGAUGGAGGGGGAUAACUACUGGAAACGGUAGCUAAUACCGCAUACCAUCGGAUGUGCACAGAUGGGAUUAGCUUGUAGGUGAGGUAACGACUCACCUAGGCGACGGUCCCUAGCUGGUCUGAGAGGAUGUCCAGCCACACUGGAUCGUAGACACGGCCAGGACUCCGACGGGAGGCAGCAGUGGGGAAUAUAGCAAAAUGAGAGCAAGCCUGAUGCAGCCUAGACGCGUGUAUGAGGAAAGCCUUCGGGUUGUAAAAUACUUUCGGCGGGCAGGCGGUACCCGCAGAAGAAGCGCCGACUAAGUCCGUUCCAACAGCCGCGGUGAUAC
rnacentral:rRNA from 1 species